GGGUCAUUCCAGCCGCCGCCUGGAACAACCGACAGUAAGGCCGCAGUGGGGCCGGUCGUCCUCUAGGUUCGACUGCGGGUUCCGUCCUGCAGUCCUGAGGGCCAGCCCACGUGCCGUCGCAGGGUCCCUUGCUUCUCCGUCCUCGUUGUCGCCAGGAACCACCUCACGGACUGGGCGCCAGGCCUGAGGCCGUGCCGCCAUGGACUUCUCCAAGUUCUUGGCCGACGACUUCGACGUGAAAGAGUGGAUCAAUGCGGCCUUCAGGGCCGGCCCCAAGGAGGCUGCAGCGGGGAAGGCGGACGGCCACGCUGCCACGCUGGUGAUGAAGCUGCAGCUGUUCAUCCAAGAGGUGAACCACGCCGUGGAGGAAAUGAGCCACCAGGCCCUUCAGAACAUGCCCAAAGUGCUCCGUGAUGUGGAAGCCCUGAAACAGGAGGCGUCUUUUCUGAAAGAACAAAUGAUUCUCGUCAAGGAGGACAUUAAAAAAUUUGAACAGGACACAUCGCAGUCAAUGCAGGUAUUGGUAGAAAUCGACCAAGUCAAGUCCAGGAUGCAGCUUGCUGCCGAAUCUCUUCAGGAAGCAGACAAGUGGAGCACGCUGAGUGCUGAUAUCGAGGAGACAUUUAAGACUCAAGACAUAGCUGUGAUUUCCGCCAAGCUAACCGGUAUGCAGAACAGCUUAACGAUGCUUGUUGAUACGCCAGACUACUCAGAAAAAUGUGUGCACUUAGAGGCUUUGAAGAACAGGCUGGAGGCCCUAGCCAGCCCGCAGAUUGUAGCAGCAUUCACCUCUCAGUCUGUGGAUCAGUCCAAAAUGUUUGUGAAAGUUUUUACUGAAAUCGACCGGAUGCCCCAGCUCCUUGCAUACUACUACAAAUGUCACAAGGUACAGCUGUUAGCAGCCUGGCAGGAGCUGUGCCAGACCGACCUGCCCCUGGCCCAGCAGCUCACCGGCCUCUAUGACGCCUUGCUGGGCGCCUGGCACGCACAGACCCAGUGGACCGCGCAGGUUUUCAGGAACCCCCACGAAGUGGUGACUGUGCUGCUGAUUCAGACCCUGGGGGCCCUGGUGCCCUCCCUGCCCAUGUGCCUCAGCGCUGGAGUGGAACGGGCAGGACCCGAGCUGGAGCUCACCAGGCUGCUGGAGUUCUACGACGCCACGGCCCACUUCGCCAAGGGGCUGGAGAUGGCACUGCUUCCCCACCUCCACGAGCACAACAUGGUGAAAGUGGUGGAGCUGGUUGACGCUGUGUAUGGCCCUUACAGACCCUACCAGCUGAAGUACGGUGGCCUGGAGGAGAGCAACCUUCUCAUCCAGAUCAGCGCCGUGCCUUUGGAGCACGGUGAGGUGAUCGACUGUGUGCAGGAGCUGAGCCACUCCGUGAGCAAACUCUUUGGCCUGGCAGCCGCAGCUGUCAACAGAUGUGUCGGAUUCACCAACGGCCUGGGGACCUGUGGCCUGCUGACAGCCCUGAAGUCGGUCUUUGCCAAGUAUGUGUCUGAUUUCACCAACACUCUCCAGUCAAUACGGAAGAAGUGCAAACUGGAUGACAUUCCUUCCAGCUCCAUUUUCCAGGAAGACUGGACGGCUUUUCAGAACUCCAUCAGGAUCAUAGCCACCUGUGGAGAGCUCUUGAGGCAGUGUGGAGACUUUGAGCAGCAGCUAGCAAACAGGAUUUUGUCCACAGCCGGAAGGUAUCUCUCUGACUCCUACAGCCCUCGGAGCCUGGCUGGCUUUCAGGAGAGCAUCUUGACAGACAAGAAGAGCACUGCCAAGAACCCUUGGCAGGAGUAUAAUUACCUCCAGAAAGAUAACCCUGCCGAAUAUGCCAGUUUAAUGGAAAUACUAUAUACCCUCAAGGAGAAAGGGUCCAGUAACCACAACCUGCUGGCUGCUUCCCGGGCUGCCCUGACUCGCCUGAACCAGCAGGCUCACCAACUGGCUUUCGACUCUGUUUUCCUGCGCAUCAAGCAGCAGCUGCUACUCGUUUCCAAGAUGGACAGCUGGAACACGGCCGGCAUCGGAGAGACCCUGACGGAAGAGCUGCCCGCCUUCAGCCUCACCCCGCUUGAGUACAUCAGCCAUAUCGGGCAGUACAUCAUGUCCCUGCCCCUGAAUCUCGAGCCAUUUGUGACUCAGGAGGACUCUGCCUUGGAGCUGGCCUUGCGUGCUGGGAAGCUACCGUUUCCUCCUGAGCAAGGGGAUGAGCCACCUGAGCUGGACAACAUGGCCGACCACUGGCUGGGAUCCAUCGCCAGGGCCACCAUGCAGACCUACUGCGAUGUGAUUCUCCAGAUCCCCGAGCUGACCCCGCACUCCACCAAGCAGCUGGCCACGGACAUCGGCCAGUAGAGGGCUGCUGUAGGUCUCCGUCAGCGUCCAGCCGGUCCGCCGUCAGAGGCCAUGUCCUGCAUCCCCCUUUGACCACGUGCUUCAAGUCCUCACCGCUCAGAGCCUGGGGAUGCUGCUGGUAGGUGGCAGAGGACUCCCCGGGCUCUUGCUAUCUUGCCGUUGUUUUGCUUGUCCUGAGCCCAGGCUGCUCAGAGUGGUCAAGAGGAAGGGUGGAAGGGGCCUUGAAGGUCAGUUCCCCGAGGACCAGCCAUCGUGUUCACCUGCGUGGCAGCAGGCUGAACCGGCAAACUCCCGGUCGUUUUGCAGCAGACGAGUUGGAAAUGAGGGGGCCUUGCAGGUUCCAGAGUGGCUCGACUGCCAGGCCCUGCUCCUUUCAUAGUCAGCUCUCAGGGGUUGCCAGAGGAGCAGCCGGAGUUUUACCCGUUUCUCUGGGCCCAGCAUUAAGAGAAGAGGAAAUGAGGAAACUCAGAUGUCAGAUUCCGUUAGCGUAGGAAGGAGCGUGUGGCGGAGAACCAGCCGGAGGUGGGAGUGGAGUACGAUUCAGGACAGCCCCUAGAUUUCUGUUGUGAGUUAUUUCUAGGCCCCACCCCGGUGAUCUCUAGAUGCAUUUGCUCACACAUUGAGCUUUGGCUGUGAAGCUGUCUGGAUGUAAGACAGUGGAGAGGGAUGGGGUCUGCAGCAGUGCACUCUGGAAGACUUAAAUUAAGCAUUAACGUGAAAACAGAACACACUGUUGUCCAAACAAAAAAUGUCAUGGUGGCCCAGGUCUUCCCGUUUACAGCGUCUCACUUAGGCCAAGUGGAGCUCACAGGGUUGCGGGUAACCUGGUGAAGGAGCGGGCGCCUUCCUUCUGUGCCUCUCCCCGGAAAUCAGCUCACCCUGAGUUGGAGGGAAUCGGCUAGCACACUGCUGCCUGCAGGGCUGGCCCUGAGUCAAGCCUCAGAGCGGACACAAGGAAGACCAGGCCUUCUCCGAGCCCCAGAAAGUAGCAGGGGACAUCUGGGCAGUGCCUCCUUCCAGUCCUUCAGAGCAGGAUGAGGGAAGGAGCUGGAAAUGUGUGGAGGGUCUGGGUUGUGUCAGCCGGGAUGGAGGAUCGAUACCCAGUUAUCGAUCACCUCUGACACAGCAAGUUGCGUUCGUGUCCUCUGCCCCACCUCUCCUCCCCACCUGUGCCACUUGCUGGGUCCUAACUGCAUCAGCAGGUGGGCUGAAGACUCACGCGUGGAAGGGUCCUCCCUGGCUGUCUGGGUUUUCCUCCCUCCUGCAGUGCUGACCACUAUCCUGGUGUGCAGACCCCCGGGCCGCCUUACAGAGCGACGGACCCCGCAGUCCUCGCGAUGUUCUCCUGACUUGGUCUGCGGGGGGCUCAGAGUCUGCCUGGAGCUGGUCCCCCCGGGGUUGUCUGGGAGCAGAACCUGCGUCAUACUAGGCCUUGCUGCCCUCGCCAUCGCUAUUACCUGAUCAACGUGGUGGAUGCCCUGGGCCUGCAGCCGUCCCGCACACUCCAGAGCAUCGUGACGCUCUUGAAGGCCA